GCUGGCGGCGUGCCUAAUACAUGCAAGUCGAGCGGACAGAAGGGAGCUUGCUCCCGGAUGUUAGCGGCGGACGGGUGAGUAACACGUGGGUAACCUGCCUGUAAGACUGGGAUAACUCCGGGAAACCGGAGCUAAUACCGGAUAGUUCCUUGAACCGCAUGGUUCAAGGAUGAAAGACGGUUUCGGCUGUCACUUACAGAUGGACCCGCGGCGCAUUAGCUAGUUGGUGGGGUAAUGGCUCACCAAGGCGACGAUGCGUAGCCGACCUGAGAGGGUGAUCGGCCACACUGGGACUGAGACACGGCCCAGACUCCUACGGGAGGCAGCAGUAGGGAAUCUUCCGCAAUGGACGAAAGUCUGACGGAGCAACGCCGCGUGAGUGAUGAAGGUUUUCGGAUCGUAAAGCUCUGUUGUUAGGGAAGAACAAGUGCGAGAGUAACUGCUCGCACCUUGACGGUACCUAACCAGAAAGCCACGGCUAACUACGUGCCAGCAGCCGCGGUAAUACGUAGGUGGCAAGCGUUGUCCGGAAUUAUUGGGCGUAAAGGGCUCGCAGGCGGUUUCUUAAGUCUGAUGUGAAAGCCCCCGGCUCAACCGGGGAGGGUCAUUGGAAACUGGGAAACUUGAGUGCAGAAGAGGAGAGUGGAAUUCCACGUGUAGCGGUGAAAUGCGUAGAGAUGUGGAGGAACACCAGUGGCGAAGGCGACUCUCUGGUCUGYAACUGACGCUGAGGAGCGAAAGCGUGGGGAGCGAACAGGAUUAGAUACCCUGGUAGUCCACGCCGUAAACGAUGAGUGCUAAGUGUUAGGGGGUUUCCGCCCCUUAGUGCUGCAGCUAACGCAUUAAGCACUCCGCCUGGGGAGUACGGUCGCAAGACUGAAACUCAAAGGAAUUGACGGGGGCCCGCACAAGCGGUGGAGCAUGUGGUUUAAUUCGAAGCAACGCGAAGAACCUUACCAGGUCUUGACAUCCUCUGACAACCCUAGAGAUAGGGCUUUCCCUUCGGGGACAGAGUGAAAGGUGGUGCAUGG
rnacentral:rRNA from 1 species